rnacentral:rRNA from 2 species
GAAACUGCGAAUGGCUCAUUAAAUCAGUUAUCGUCUAUUUGAUAGUACCUUACUACUUGGAUAACCGUGGUAAUUCUAGAGCUAAUACAUGCUGAAAACCCCGACUUCGGAAGGGAUGUAUUUAUUAGAUUAAAAGCCAAUGCCCUUCGGGGCUCCCUGGUGAUUCAUAAUAACUGCUCGAAUCGCACGGCCUUGCGCCGGCGAUGGUUCAUUCAAAUUUCUGCCCUAUCAACUUUCGACGGCUGGGUCUUGGCCAGCCGUGGUGACAACGGGUAACGGAGGGUUAGGGCUCGACCCCGGAGAAGGAGCCUGAGAAACGGCUACUACAUCCAAGGAAGGCAGCAGGCGCGCAAAUUACCCAAUCCCGACUCGGGGAGGUAGUGACAAUAAAUACUGAUACAGGGCUCUUUUGGGUCUUGUAAUUGGAAUGAGUACAAUUUAAUUCCCUUAACGAGGAACAAUUGGAGGGCAAGUCUGGUGCCAGCAGCCGCGGUAAUUCCAGCUCCAAUAGCGUAUAUUAAAGUUGUUGCAGUUAAAAAGCUCGUAGUUGAACCUUGGGCCUGGCUGGCCGGUCCGCCUCACCGCGUGCACUGGUCCGGCCGGGCCUUUCCCUCUGGGGAGCCGCAUGCCCUUCACUGGGCGUGUCGGGGAACCAGGACUUUUACUUUGAAAAAAUUAGAGUGUUCAAAGCAGGCUUAUGCUCGAAUACAUUAGCAUGGAAUAAUAGAAUAGGACGCGUGGUUCUAUUUUGUUGGUUUCUAGGACCGCCGUAAUGAUUAAUAGGGACAGUCGGGGGCAUCAGUAUUCAGUUGCGAGAGGUGAAAUUCUUGGACCAACUGAAGACUAACUACUGCGAAAGCAUUUGCCAAGGAUGUUUUCAUUAAUCAGGAACGAAAGUUAGGGGAUCGAAGACGAUCAGAUACCGUCGUAGUCUUAACCAUAAACUAUGCCGACUAGGGAUCGGGCGG